AGCCAUCGGGGGUAGAUCUAUCUCAUGACGAGUGGUGGAAUACUUUGACUCAUGAGAGAGAAGCUGAGGCGAAGGCGUCUACCUAGAGGGUUUCUGUCGAUCAAGGGCGAGAGUAGGAGUAUCCAACAGGAUUAGAGACCCUGGUAGUUCCUACCUUAAACGAUGCCGACAGGAGUUUGUCAUUUGUUAAUGGCAGAAUCUUUGGAGAAAUCAUAGUUCUUGGGCUCUGGGGGAACUACGACCGCAAGGCUGAAACUUGAAGGAAUUGACGGAAGGGCACACCAGGGGUGGAGCCUGUGGCUUAAUUUGAAUCAACACGGGGAAACUUACCAGGACCAGAUGUUUUUUAUGACUGACAGGCUUCGGGUCUUUCAGGAUAUUGUUUUUGGUGGUGCAUGGCCGUUGGUGGUGCGUGGGUUGACCUGUCUAGCGUUGAUUCAGCUAACGAGCGAGAUUAUCGCCAAUUAUUUACUUUGCCGAAGUCCUUCGGUUAAAGUUCUAAUUGGGACUCCCUGCGAUUUUAGCAGGUGGAAGAGGGUAGCAAUAACAGGUCCGUGAUGCCCUUUAGAUGCUCUGGGCUGCACGCGUGCUACAAUGUUAGGAUCAAUAGGACUGCGAGCCUGAGAGGGUGCGCUACUCUUAUAAUCCCUAACGUAGUUGGGAUUGACGUUUGUAAUCAGCGUCAUGAACCAGGAAUCCCUUGUAAAUGUGUGUCAACAACGCACGUUGAAUACGUCCCUGCCCUUUGUACACACCGCCCGUCGCUCCUACCGAUUGGAUGACUCGGUGAAAUCACCGGAUGCUUACGAGCAGAAAGUGAUUAAAUCACGUUAUCUAGAGGAAGGAGAAGUCGUAACAAGGUAACGGUAGGUGAACCUGCCGUUGGAUCAGUU
rnacentral:ncRNA from 1 species